rnacentral:sRNA from 1 species
GCAUAGCCCCGAUUGAAACGACAUCCUUUUCAUCCGCCUCAAGCGGAUGAAAAGAUAUAGUGGAAAGCGGGACAAGAC